AAUUCAAUGGAUGCUGCACAUUGAUACAGAUUUGGUCAUGGGAGCGUAUUCAUAUUGGACGCCUUACUUUACUUAUGCACCGUGACCUACAGGGGUAGUUUCCUUUGGCGUACAGGUAUAACGUGCGGUACGCUAGGUACCGAUCAGCGACGCGCCAUCGUGAGUUUUAUCGAAAUGAGCUUGAUGGCCUCCAACAUGAACAGUGCAAGUGGAGAUCCUAUACACCGUCGGAGCUCAAUAUGCAUUCUCUUGCACCCAUCUGUGGAGAUACUCCCGACUUGUGGAGAGCCAGAGUUCCAUUGAUUUGUUGGAAGAUCGUGGAGAUGCAUGUCCCUGAUCGUGUGUUACGACAGUUUACGCUCUCGCAGCAUGUGCCAGAUCCUGUCGGGCAGAUCGAUCGUCGGCGACGACCUACUUUGCACCAUACGGACUGGGUCAUAUUCCGUGCGGCCUACAUAGACAAGUGGGCUCACAGGUGAGAUUUCAUCCAGGAUACGAGGCCCACAGCUGUUGACUAUACCGUGUAUAUGCGUUGGUAUUAAGGUAUCACACGUAGAUGGAUCACGCGUGACCCACAACCAUCAGC